GUGGGGAAUAUUGGACAAUGGGCGAAAGCCUGAUCCAGCCAUGCCGCGUGUGUGAAGAAGGUCUUCGGAUUGUAAAGCACUUUAAGUUGGGAGGAAGGGUAGUAACCUAAUACGUUGCUACUUUGACGUUACCGACAGAAUAAGCACCGGCUAACUUCGUGCCAGCAGCCGCGGUAAUACGAAGGGUGCAAGCGUUAAUCGGAAUUACUGGGCGUAAAGCGCGCGUAGGUGGUUUUGUAAGUUGGAGGUGAAAUCCCCGGGCUCAACCUGGGAACUGCCUCCAAAACUGCAUGACUAGAGUACGGUAGAGGGUAGUGGAAUUUCCUGUGUAGCGGUGAAAUACGUAGAUAUAGGAAGGAACACCAGUGGCGAAGGCGACUACCUGGACUGAUACUGACACUGAGGUGCGAAAGCGUGGGGAGCAAACAGGAUUAGAAACCCCGGUAGUCC
rnacentral:rRNA from 1 species